rnacentral:rRNA from 1 species
ACUCAAUAGAUACCCAGGUAGUCCACGCCGUAAACGAUGUGUGUUUGUCGCCGGGAAGUUCACUUUUCGGUAAACGCAGCUAAACGCGUUAAAGCACACCGCCUGGGAAGUACGGCCGCAAGGUUAAAACCCAAAGGAAUUGACGGGGACCCGCACAAGCGGUGGAGUAUGUGGUUUAAUUCGUCGCAACGCGAAGAACCUUACCAGGCCUUGACAUGCCCCUUAGGAGAUCCAGAGACGGGUCUCGUCACUUCGGGUGGGGGACGACAGUGCUGCAUGGCGUGUCGUCAGCUCGUGUCGUGAGAUGUUGGGUUAAGUACCCG